UCAAGUGCAGAAAGGGCCCAAUCUGGU
rnacentral:piRNA from 1 species